rnacentral:rRNA from 1 species
CUCCGGUUGAUCCUGCCGGACCCGACUGCUAUCAGAGUGGGACUAAGCCAUGCGAGUCAACAUAGCAAUAUGUGGCAUACGGCUCAGUAACACGUAGUCAACAUGCCCAGGGGACGUGGAUAACCUCGGGAAACUGAGGAUAAACCGCGAUAGGUCAUCACUUCUGGAAUGGGUAAUGACUUAAAUCUAUAUGGCCCCUGGAUUGGACUGCGGCCGAUCAGGCUGUUGGUGAGGUAAUGGCCCACCAAACCUGUAACCGGUACGGGCUCUGAGAGGAGGAGCCCGGAGAUGGGCACUGAGACAAGGGCCCAGGCCCUAUGGGGCGCAGCAGGCGCGAAACCUCUGCAAUAGGCGAAAGCUUGACAGGGUUACUCUGAGUGAUUUCCGUUAAGGAGAUCUUUUGGCACCUCUAAAAAUGGUGCAGAAUAAGGGGUGGGCAAGUCUGGUGUCAGCCGCCGCGGUAAUACCAGCACCCCGAGUGGUCGGGACGUUUAUUGGGCCUAAAGCAUCCGUAGCCGGUUCUACAAGUCUUCCGUUAAAUCCACCUGCUUAACAGAUGGGCUGCGGAAGAUACUAUAGAGCUAGGAGGCGGGAGAGGCAAGCGGUACUCGAUGGGUAGGGGUAAAAUCCGUUGAUCCAUUGAAGACCACCAGUGGCGAAGGCGGCUUGCCAGAACGCGCUCGACGGUGAGGGAUGAAAGCUGGGGGAGCAAACCGGAUUAGAUACCCGGGUAGUCCCAGCUGUAAACGAUGCAGACUCGGUGAUGAGUUGGCUUAUUGCUAACUCAGUGCCGCAGGGAAGCCGUUAAGUUUGCCGCCUGGGGAGUACGGUCGCAAGACUGAAACUUAAAGGAAUUGGCCGGGGAGCA